rnacentral:rRNA from 1 species
AACGAACGCUGGCGGCAGGCUUAACACAUGCAAGUCGAACGGGUGUAGCAAUACAUCAGUGGCAGACGGGUGAGUAACACGUGGGAACCUUCCUAGGGGUACGGAACAACUCAGGGAAACUUGAGCUAAUACCGUAUACGUCCGUAAGGAGAAAGAUUCAUCGCCCCUAGACGGGCCCGCGUCGGAUUAGGUAGUUGGUGGGGUAACGGCCUACCAAGCCUACGAUCCGUAGCUGAUCUGAGAGGANGAUCGGCCACACUGGGACUGAGACACGGCCCAGACUCCUACGGGAGGCAGCAGUGGGGAAUCUUGGACAAUGGGCGCAAGCCUGAUCCAGCCAUGCCGCGUGAGUGAAGAAGGCCUUAGGGUUNUAAAGCUCUUUUACCAGGGACGAUAAUGACGGUACCCGGAGAAUAAGCCCCGGCAAACUUCGUACCAG